GUAGGUGGCAAGCGUUGUCCGGAAUUAUUGGGCGUAAAGCGCGCGCAGGCGGUUCUUUAAGUCUGAUGUGAAAGCCCACGGCUCAACCGUGGAGGGUCAUUGGAAACUGGAGAACUUGAGUACAGAAGAGGAAAGCGGAAUUCCACGUGUAGCGGUGAAAUGCGUAGAGAUGUGGAGGAACACCAGUGGCAAGGCGGCUUUCUGGUCUGUAACUGACGCUGAGGCGCGAAAGCGUGGGGAGCAAACAGGGAUUAGAUACCCUGGUAGUCCACGCCGUAAACGAUGAGUGCUAAGUGUUAGGGGGUUUCCGCCCCCUUAGUGCUGCAGCUAACGCAUUAAGCACUCCGCCUGGGGAGUACGGCCGCAAGGCUG
rnacentral:rRNA from 1 species